CCUACGGGAGGCAGCAGUGAGGAAUCUUGGUCAAUGGUCGGGAGACUGAACCAGCCAAGCCGCGUGAGGGAGGAAGGUACAGAGUAUCGUAAACCUCUUUUGUCAGGGAACAAAGGCGGCGACGUGUCCCCGGAAGAGUGUACCUGAAGAAAAAGCAUCGGCUAACUCCGUGCCAGCAGCCGCGGUAAUACGGGGGAUGAGAGCGUUUUCCGGAUUUUUUGGGGUUAAGGGGUGCCCAGUGGGUCUGUUAAGUCAGCGGGCAAAGCCCGGGGCUCAACCCGGGACCGCCGUUGAAACUGGCAGUCUGGAGGUGGAGAGAAGUAUGCGGAAUGCGCGGUGUAGCGGUGAAAUGCAUAGAUA
rnacentral:rRNA from 1 species